rnacentral:miRNA from 1 species
UCUGUUCUGCUUCCUCUGCAG